AGUGACGCUCCGGAGCCGUCUCCAGGGUGGUAAUACCUGGUGCAGAGCUUGAGUCUGGCCAGCGGGUCAGGCUCUUCCUAGAUCAGCACCGGAGGUGGAAGACUGGUACAUUUUACAUACUUUGGGGAAAAAAACGUUGCUGAAGUUACUAGAAAAGAGACAGUUCUUCUGCUGACAACCCUUGAGGAAAUAAUUUUCUACCUCCUUAGGAUUCGAAGACCAGUUCAUUCUUAGUGUCUUCUGAAAUAAAAUUAGAAUGGAUUGGGAUGAUGAAUAUUCUCAUAAUUCUUUUGACCUACAUUGUUUGUUAAACUCAUUUCCUGGAGACUUGGAGUUUGAGCAGAUCUUCAGUGACAUUGAUGAAAAGAUUGAACAAAAUGCUGCAAGCAUAGAACAUUGCAUUAAAGAGAUACAGUCCAAAAUUAACAAACAAUGUCCAGGUGUGCAGCUGCAAACAACAACUGACUGCUUUGAAUGGCUAACUAACUAUAAUUACAGUACAUCUGAAUCAUCUUUCAUUUCUCAUGGAGACUUGAUAAAAUUUCUCAAAACACUGCAAGAUUUGUUGAAGAAUGAACAAAAUCAAGAAGAAAUGACAUUGGAUUUACUUUGGGACCUCUCCUGCCACAGCAGCGUUUCAUUCCCAUCAACCCUAAGUGGAACAUCUUUCCAUUUGCUCUCUAGGACGUCUCUUCAUUCUGUUGAAGAUAAUUCCUCUAUGGAUGUCAAGUCUAUGUGGGAUGAUAUAAGACUGCAUCUUCGACGCUUCUUAGUGAGCAAAUUACAAAGCCAUAAUGAAAUAAACAAUUCACAGCAAAAAAUUUUAUUGAAAAAGCAGUGCUUACAACAACUCUUGUUUCUUUAUCCAGAAUCAGAAGUUAUAAUCAAAUACCAAAACAUACAGAAUAAACUGUUGGCUAAUCUUCUGCGGAACUGCUUUCCUUCUUACAACAGAGAUUCAGAUUUAGAUGUAAUAGCUCAUGGAUAUCAAAGUACAAUGCUUAAGUUAUACUCAAUAAUAAAAGAGGAUUUUAACACACUAUGUGAAAUUUUAGCUCCAUCUUCAAUGGUGAAAUUCAUUAAAGAAACUUACCUGGAUACUGUUACAGAAGAAAUGGCAAAAUUUCUUGAAAAUUUUUGUGAGCUGCAGUUCAGAGAAAAUGCUGUUCGUGUGGUUAAAACAAGCAAGAGCUCCAGCAAGCAUAGAGGAGCAGUGCAUGCUUUGGUUACUCCUGAAUGCCCACAGAAAGGAAGAAACUUCUCUCUCCCUUUAGACAAAGUCGAAUUCUUAUCGCAGCUCAUAAAAUCCUUUAUGAAACUGGAAAAAGGUGUUCAAGAAUUGUUUGACGAAAUACUUUUAUCACUCAAGAUAACCAGGAAUACUUCAGGAAUUUUGGAGAAAUCCGAUAGAGAAGUUGUAAUGGAAAAACCUAGAGCAAACGAAACCAAUAUUCCUUCCGAGCAAUCGCUACCAGGAAAAGAGGCUACCUUACUAGAUUUUGGCUGGAGAAGUGCAUUUAAAGAAGUGUUUCUUCCCAUGGCGCACUGCGCAGUAACUGCAAUUGAAGGUUUUUCCGCAAAAAUUCUCCAACAGGAACAGAAUGAAAGGUCUUCAGCUGUGAGCUAUGCUAUGAACCUUGUAAAUGUCCAGCAAGUUUGGCAAGACAGCCAUAUGUUUCCUGAGGAGGAACAACCAAAGAAAAUUGGAAAAUUUUGUUCUGACAUCAUGGAAAAACUUGACACAAUGCUUCCACUGGCUCUGGCAUGCAGAGAUGAUUCUUUUCAGGAAAUUAGAGCAAACUUGGUGGAGGCCUGUUGUAAAGUGGCAACAGCUGUCCUGCAGAGACUGCAAGAGAGAGCCAAGGAGGUUCCUUCCAAAGCACCCCUGAAAAACUUGCACACAUACCUCUCCACAGCGGUGUAUGUCUUCCAGCAUUUCAAGCGAUAUGAUAAUUUGAUGAAGGAAAUGACUAAAAAACCCAUAUUCCUGGUGCUUGUCCAACGAUAUCAGGAAUUCAUCAACACUCUACAGUUUCAGGUUACGAACUACUGCGUCAGAGUUUGUGCUACAAGCAUUUUACAGGAUGCUGAGAGCCACCACUGGGAUGACUACAAAGCUUUUUAUGAGGGGGAAAGAUGUUCCUUCUCGAUCCAGAUGUGGCAUUAUUUCUGCUGGUCUCUUCAUUACGAUCUCUGGACCAUUCUGCCUCCUAAGUUAGCCCAGGAGAUUCUAGUGGAAGUGCUGGAGAAAUCUUUGAGUCUACUGGCCUCCAGAUAUGCUCGGGCCCACCCCAGCCGUAAAAGAACUCCACAGUUAAGACUUGAUGUCACAACAAUUUUGAUGUGCACUGAGAACAUGUUAUGGUCAGUUUGUACAUCUGUACGGAAACUUUUGAAUCCUCAUCAGCAUACAGAUGAUAAAAUUUUUAAAAUUCACACUCAUUGUAAUAAUCUGUUUACAACAUUAGUCAUUUUGACUUCACCAUUAACAGAAUUGUAUAAGACUUUUCAGCAUGGCCUGGAUGAGUCUGCUUCAGAUUCCUUAAAAUCAUUUUUUAAGCAACCAUUAUAUUGGGUUUCUUGCAUAUCACAUUUCUACCCUUCUUUACUCAGGACUCCAUCAGCUGGAGGACUGAAAGCCGAGGGUCAGUUGAAACUGCUCUUAUCCCAGCCACGUUGUAACUGGAACUUGCUUCUGGAAACCCUAGUGCAUCAUGAUGGAAUUUUACUGAGAAUCUUGCUGAAGAGCUCAAAACGUACCUUUCAAGAACAAGUUUCCGACACAGAAAAUAACCUGAACCAAGGACCCAGCUUGAUGGAAGCCAUCUUUAAAAUAUUGUACCAUUGCAGUUUUUCUCCACAAACAUUUGCAAACGUUUUUGUGAGCUACAUGGAAGAAGAGCAAUUAUGGGACUUUUUAUAUAACAUCCCAGUCUCAACGUGCGUGGAGUACGAGCUAGAGGUCAUCAGAUGCUUGAGACUGGCACUGACCGAUGCCGUCAAGGACACUGUACAGCAGAUAGUAUCUGUGAUGAGUUCUAGGAGAAACCGUGAGACAAACCUAAACAAGCACAUUGUUCCUGAUUGUUUGCUUGAGAGCAUGCCAAAGGAAUGGAAUUAUAGUCCAAAAGAAACUAACAGGAAAGAAUCAUGCAAAAGCUUCACAAGGCUUGCUGCUCAGGCAGUAUCUAUUGUAAUCAGCAAGUUACCUACGGUGAUUGCAUGUUUGCCUCCCCCAAUUAAAUACUUCUUUUUUCUGUCUGAGAGAAAAAUGUCAAAAAACUUUGUUGAAUUGAAGAAAGCUGGCCUGCUUGUCUGGAACUUGAUUGUAAUUAUAUGUCGGAUAUUUGAGGACGGAAACACUGUGGAACUUUUAACAGGUGCCUCCCUUGACAGAUGGAGUAAAGAAAAACUGGGUUUAAUUUGUAUGUGUUUGGAAAGCAUCAUGGGAGACCAGACAAGUAUCCCUAAUCAAAUGAUCCAAAAGGUCAUACAAAGCAUUGAGCAGCAGAAGCCCAACUGGAUUGAACGUCAAUUGUUGAAAGCAAGGAAACUGAGCACUGAAUGUGCAUUUAUGACAAUAGAGAAAAGCACAGCCUUACAAGAAGGAGAUAUUGCUCUUGAACUGACUGAGCAGAAAAUAAACACGAUGGUCCUGGAUCUCUGCCACAAACCAGGUGGCAGCGAGUACCUGAGGCAAAUUUAUCACAUCAUGCAGCUCAAUGAGGAAUAUUUAAAAGAACAGCUGUUUUCUAUGAAUAGUUCAGAGGAAAAGCCAUUACCCAUCCGACCUUUAAAGACGACCUUGAGGAGUAUAGAAGAUCGGCCUUCUGCCUUUAACCCUUUCCAUGUGUAUAAGGCGUUUAGUGAAAACAUGCUAGAUCAGUCAGCCAUCACAAAAUGGAACUGGAAUUGGGCAAAGUUGCUGCCAAAUUAUCUGAGACUGGAUAAGAUGACCUUCAGUGUGCUGCUCAAAAACAGGACUCAUUGGAGGGAACCGAUGAACCAUACAGCAAGAUCCAGAUGGCUGAUUUUUACAAAGAGGGGCAACUGCAUAGCAUCUUCUUUUCUCACUUUCCUUUCUGAGAUGUUGCCACUGUCUAACUGAGUGGCUGCUUGAUCUUUAAAACCAAUACUGGAUUGAGAGCUCCUUGAGAGAUGAAACUGCAUCUAAUCAUUCUCUCUCCUGCAAUUAAUCACAUGGACAAUUACGGAAAGAAAUGAGGGCUGCAACAUCCAUACUUGAGGAUUGAUAUCAGUAUUGCUCGGUAUUGUUAUCAAUCAGUAUUGUUAAUGAUAUCUUUGAUAAUUUCCCUCUAAUAUCUCUAUAUUUUCUCAAAAUAAUCCCUUAAAUAUUAUUGGGGUGAAAAUAGUUUAUCUAAGUAACUUUACCAAGUUUAACUGAGGGCUUAGUACAGUGAUAGAAUUCAAUUGUCAUCCUACCUAUCUGGUCAGGAUUCCUAGCAUCCUAUAAAGUAAAGUAUUUCAUAUUCAUCAAAAGUUCUAAUGUGACAUUUCUCCCGUGUGAAAAAAGUAUGAAUGGAACUUACACAACUUUUUAAUAUGGUGCUGGAUUUUUCUCAGGGAGUUCAUUAUACUAAAUCAUUUUGUCAAUUUUUAAAUGAUGAGGGCAUAUCUUUUCCAAUGUAUCAUCUUCCAAUGUAUCAAGUUUAGGAUUUUAUACUUAUAAUGUUGUACUUAUUGGUCUGGACAGCUCUAUAAAGUAAUGUAAUGCAAAAUAUUAUUGAUUUUGGGAAUUAGUGAUAUUAUUAAUUUUCUAGAAAAUAAACUCUGAAAUUAGAUUUCACAUUCCCCCUUUUUUUUCUCUAAAUAUGAGUCGACAUAUGUAAAAACCAGUCAGGUGGCCAUAGCUAUUUUAUAUGUAGUUAUUUUAUAUAUAUCGCUAUUUUGUUUUAUUCAUUAUUUUGUUUUCACCAAACUUUAGGAAUUUUUAAAGCAUUAAGAUCUUGGGCCAUUGGAGAGGUGGGGGAUGGUUCAUGGAGAGAUAAUAAUGUACAUAUUCUUUCAAUAGGUAGGAGGUAGCUAAACAAGUUUUAAGUGUACUAUAAUUUUCAUUGUGACAAGUUCGCUAUCACUUAUUAACAUUAAAAGUAAUUGCGAGUUAGAUGCUAGCUCUGUUUCUGGCACCAUCUGAGUCUCCUGAUAUCUUCAGAUCCUUCUAUUUGGAACUUGCAUAAUCACCUUUUACAUUCACAAAUAAGUUACUGAGUCUCUGAUGAUAGUCAUGAAAACAAAUUUUAAUUGAGUUUGGCAUGUCAAAACCCUUUCUUGGGUUUUAUGUUUGAUGUACCAUGCCACAUUUUCAGUGAAUAAAAACUGCCUCCUUGCAUAUUUAUUAUAUAUUCUCAGUUAGUGAGAUUUUGUUACACAAGCAGUCACCUUAUUAUUUUUUAUACGUGCACUUUGAUAUCACAGUGUUUCAUUGUCAAUUGACGUAAUGUAUCAGAAGUGGCACAGCUAAUGAGCACAGUUGCCUUUAGCUCAUUUUACAUCGUGAAACCCUACUGGGGAAUAGGCUGUAAAACUUGGUGGAGGGGUUCUGACAUUUUAUAAAUGUCAUAUGUCAAUCCUACAUUGUGAUGGCUGUGAAACACUGUGUGCUGAUGGUACCAUAGUCAUAUGAUAGACCAUUUUCACUAGCAGGCACUAAAGAACAGGGUGUGUGUGUGUGCAUAUGUGUGUGAAAGAGAUUUCUGUUUGCAAGUAAACUUUAAGCUUUUUGGCCUGUGUAUAGGAAUUAAGAAAGAUUGCUCAUUAUUUUAUUAAUAUAAAUUAGUAGAGACAAAAUCUUGGUGACAAAAUACAAAAUGUGUUAUGAAAACUUAAAUUCCACUUUUCUGUUCUUAAACACAAAGAAUAUUUUGAUCUUAGAACAAUAAUUAAGGUAUUUUCUGUUUCCAUUAAUCUAAAUUGCAAUUUGUAUUGGAGGAGUAAAAAGUCAGGGCAUCUUAUUUAAACUUAGCCUUUUUUAAAGGUAUGUUUUAAAAACUUGUUUAUGGUAUAAGGUGUUAACAGGUAAUUUGGUCAGUUAUUCCUUAGUGCAUGAGGGUUUGGAUUUUUUGAAUAAAGGAAGUUGCAUUAUCAAUUGCAGAAUAACAAAUGUAGUUUCAUUUGUAUUGCUUCUAGGAGUUUAUGAACCAUAUUUUGUCUUGUGGUAACUAGAAUUAUGAACUUGGAAUGUCAUAGCAAAUGAUGGCUGGGGUAUUUUCAGUUCUGAAAUGUUUUUACUUGUAAACUGGUUAAUUUAGUAUUCAAAUAUACUUAUUUUUUAAAAUAAAAAAUUUAUUUCCUCU